rnacentral:lncRNA from 1 species
GGGUCCCUAUAUACUCCUAUAGGGUCCUUAUAGAAUCGCUAUAUGUUUUUAUGGGGUCCCUAUAUGCCCCUAUGGGAUCCUUAUAGAAUCCCUAUGUGUUUCUAUGGGGUUCCUAUGUGCCCCUAUAGGGUCCCUAUAGGAUCCCUACAUGUUUCUCUGGGGUCCCUAUAUGCCCCUAUAGGGUUCUCAUAGAAUCGCUAUAUGUUUUUAUAGGGUCCCUAUAUGCUCCUAUGGGAUCCUUAUAGAAUCCCUGUAUGUUUCUAUGGGGUUCCUAUGUGCCCCUAUAGGGUCCCUAUAGGAUCCCUAUAUGUUUUUAUGGGGUCCCUAUAUGUCUCUAUAGGGUCCCUAUAGGAUCCUGAUAUGUCCCCAUGUGUUCCCAUAGGCCGCCAUGCUGUCCCUGAAGGUGAAGGUGGAGAAGCCGGAUUUGGAGGCGACGUCGGCGCGGAGCCGUUUGGAUGCGGUGCUGCAGGGGCUGCUGGAGCGCAGUGAGGGGGACAGGGAAGCCCUGGAGGACGACGCAGGGAAGGCGGUGGGCGACGCGGCCCCAAAGUAAAUCCCAAAA